AGAGCGAACGCUGGCGGCAGGCCUAACACAUGCAAGUCGAGCGCCCGUAGCAAUACGGGAGCGGCAGACGGGAUAGUAACACGUGGGAACGCGCCCUUCGGUUCGGAAUAACUCAGGGAAACUUGAGCUAAUACCGGAUACGCCCUUACGGGGAAAGAUUUAUUGCCGAAGGAACGGCCCGCGUCCGAUUAGCUAGUUGGUGAGGUAAUGGCUCACCAAGGCGACGAUCGGUAGCUGGUCUGAGAGGAUGACCAGCAUCACUGGGACUGAGACACGGCCCAGACUCCUACGGGAGGCAGCAGUGGGGAAUAUGGACAAUGGGCGCAAGCCUGAUCCAGCCAUGCCGCGUGGAUGAUGAAGGCCUUAGGGUUGUAAAGUCCUUUUAACGGGAAGAUAAUGACGGUACCCGUAGAAUAAGCCCGGCUAACUUCGUGCCAGCAGCCGC
rnacentral:rRNA from 1 species